rnacentral:rRNA from 1 species
GACAGAGGGUGCUAGCGUUGUUCGGAAUUACUGGGCGUAAAGGGCGCGUAGGCGGCCUUCUAAGUCGGACGUGAAAUCCCUCGGCUUAACCGAGGAACUGCGUCCGAUACUGAAAGGCUUGAAUCCGGGAGAGGGAUGUGGAAUUCCAGGUGUAGCGGUGAAAUGCGUAGAUAUCUGGAGGAACACCGGUGGCGAAGGCGGCAUCCUGGACCGGCAUUGACGCUGAGGCGCGAAAGCUAGGGGAGCAAACGGG